rnacentral:rRNA from 1 species
UAGGGAAUCUUCCACAAUGGACGCAAGUCUGAUGGAGCAACGCCGCGUGAGUGAAGAAGGUUUUCGGAUCGUAAAGCUCUGUUGUUGGUGAAGAAGGAUAGAGGCAGUAACUGGUCUUUAUUUGACGGUAAUCAACCAGAAAGUCACGGCUAACUACGUGCCAGCAGCCGCGGUAAUACGUAGGUGGCAAGCGUUGUCCGGAUUUAUUGGGCGUAAAGCGAGCGCAGGCGGAAUGAUAAGUCUGAUGUGAAAGCCCACGGCUCAACCGUGGAACUGCAUCGGAAACUGUCAUUCUUGAGUGCAGAAGAGGAGAGUGGAACUCCAUGUGUAGCGGUGGAAUGCGUAGAUAUAUGGAAGAACACCAGUGGCGAAGGCGGCUCUCCGGCCUGCAACUGACGCUGAGGCUCGAAAGCAUGGGUAGCGAACAGGAUUAGAUACCCUGGUAGUCCAUGCCGUAAACGAUGAGCGCUAGGUGUUGGGGACUUUCCGGUCCUCAGUGCCGCAGCAAACGCAUUAAGCGC